rnacentral:misc_RNA from 1 species
GAUGAAGAACGUAGCGAAAUGCGAUAAGUAGUGUGAAUUGCAGAAUUCAGUGAAUCAUCGAAUCUUUGAACGCACAUUGCGCCCCUUGGUAUCCCGAGGGGCAUGCCUGUUCGAGCGUCAUUUAACCACUCAAGCCUGGCUUGGUGUUGGGCGACGUCCCCUUUGGGGACGCGCCUCGAAACGCUCGGCGGCGUGGCACCGACUUUAAGCGUAGCAGAAUCUUUCGCUUUGGAAGUCGGGGCCCCGUCUGCCGGAAGACCUACUCGCAAGGUUGACCUCGGAUCAGGCAGGGAUACCCGCUGAACUUAAGCAUAUCAAUAAGCGGAGGA